rnacentral:rRNA from 1 species
GAUGAACGCUGGCGGCGUGCCUAAUACAUGCAAGUCGAGCGAACGGACGAGAAGCUUGCUUCUCUGAUGUUAGCGGCGGACGGGUGAGUAACACGUGGAUAACCUACCUAUAAGACUGGGAUAAAUUCGGGAAACCGGAGCUAAUACCGGAUGAUAUUUUGAACCGCAUGGUUCAAAAGUGAAAGACGGUCUUGCUGUCACUUAUAGAUGGAUCCGCGCUGCAUUAGCUAGUUGGUAAGGUAACGGCUUACCAAGGCAACGAUGCAUAGCCGACCUGAGAGGGUGAUCGGCCACACUGGAACUGAGACACGGUCCAGACUCCUACGGGAAGCAGCAGUAGGGAAUCUUCCGCAAUGGGCGAAAGCCUGACGGAGCAACGCCGCGUGAGUGAUGAAGGUCUUCGGAUCGUAAAACUCUGUUAUUAGGGAAGAACAUAUAUGUAAGUAACUGUGCACAUCUUGACGGUACCUAAUCAGAAAGCCACGGCUAACUACGUG